ensembl:misc_RNA Metazoa_SRP Metazoan signal recognition particle RNA
GCUGGGCACAGUAGCGGGUGCCUGUAAUCCCAGCUACUUGGAGGCUGAGGCAGGAGAACUGCUUGAGCCCGGGAAGUGGAAGUUGCAGUGUGCCGGGAUCACGCCACUGCACUCCAGCCUGGGCAACAGAGCAAGACUCCGUCUCAA